GCAGUAAUAGCUCAGCGUUAGAGCGUCGGCCUUGUAAGUCGAAUGUCGAAGGCUAAAAUCCCUCUUGCUGCU
rnacentral:tRNA from 2 species